CCCUUAGAUGUUCUGGGCCGCACGCGCGCUACACUGAUUCAUGCAACAAGUUUUGUCCUUGGCUGAUAGGCCUGGGUAAUCUUUGAACGUGAAUCGUGAUGGGGAUAGAUGAUUGCAAUUAUUCAUCUUCAACGAGGAAUUCCUAGUAAACGCAAGUCAUCAGCUUGCAUUGAUUACGUCCCUGCCCUUUGUACACACCGCCCGUCGCACCUACCGAUUGAAUGGUCCGGUGAAAUCUUCGGAUCUGAGAGAUGUCUGAUUAAUUUCGGACGCCUUUUGGAAAAGUUGUUUAAACCUUACCAUUUAGAGGAAGAUGAAGUCGUAACA
rnacentral:rRNA from 1 species